CGGCAAAAGCUCAAAUUUGAAAUCUGCCAACAGGCCGAAUUGUAAUUUGUAGAGGAUGCUUCUGGGCAGCGGCCGGUCUAAGUUUCUUGGAACAGAACGUCAUAGAGGGUGAGAAUCCCGUAUGCGACCGGUUGGCACCCUCCACGUAGCUCCUUCGAC
rnacentral:rRNA from 1 species